GAUGAAGAACGUAGUGAAAUGCGAUAAGUAGUGUGAAUUGCAGAAUUCAGUGAAUCAUCGAGUCUUUGAACGCACAUUGCGCCCCCUGGUAUUCCGGGGGGCAUGCCUGUCCGAGCGUCAUUGCUGCCCUCAAGCACGGCUUGUGUGUUGGGCCCCGUCCUCCGAUCCCGGGGGACGGGCCCGAAAGGCAGCGGCGGCACCGCGUCCGGUCCUCGAGCGUAUGGGGCUUUGUCACCCGCUCUGUAGGCCCGGCCGGCGCUUGCCGAUCAACCCAAAUUUUUAUCCAGGUUGACCUCGGAUCAGGUAGGGAUACCCGCUGAACUUAAGCAUAUCAAUAAGCGGAGGA
rnacentral:misc_RNA from 1 species